rnacentral:lncRNA from 1 species
GUAGAGGGAAUGAGUCAGGCUCCGGCUCCACACUGGCACGUAGUGGGCGGAUCGCGCCGGCGCUGAGUAGGAAGGAGCUUCAGCCGCCAGCCCGGAACGCACAGCAAGCACCUGCCUCAGCUGACCCUUGAGCCAUAACCCAUAAGCUCCUGAAAAGUACAUCAAGUCUAAAGUGAACCAGCUAACUCAUUAAGACUGGAAUCAUGAGCAACAAUGGAGCAGACCUAACCUUUGGUUACAUCUCCUGUUUUGUAGCUAUCCUUUUGUUUGGCUCAAAUUUUGUGCCACUUAAAAAAUUUGAUACUGGUGAUGGAAUGUUUCUCCAGUGGGUUCUUUGUGCUGCCAUAUGGUUGGUUGCCUUGGUUGUCAAUCUGAUAUUACAUUGUCCAAAGUUUUGGCCUUUUGCAAUGCUUGGGGGCUGCAUUUGGGCAACAGGGAACAUUGCUGUUGUCCCAAUUAUCAAAACCAUUGGUUUAGGCCUUGGAAUCUUAAUCUGGGGAUCAUUUAAUGCCUUAACUGGCUGGGCAAGCUCAAG